GGAUCGAUGAUGACAAAAAGUCUCUGAGGACGGUGAUUGACUCAUGAUAUGCCAAUCUGAGGUCC